CCUACGGGAGGCUGCAGUGAGGAAUAUUGGUCAAUGGGCGCUAGCCUGAACCAGCCAAGCAGCGUGAAGGAUGACUGCCCUAUGGGUUGUAAACUUCUUUUAUAUGGGAAUAAAGUGCAGUAUGUAUACUGCUUUGCAUGUACCUUAUGAAUAAGGAUAGGCUAACUCCGUGCCAGCAGCCGCGGUAAUGCGGUGGAUCCGAGCGUUAUCCGGAUUUAUUGGGUUUAAAGGGAGCGUAGGCGGGUUGUUAAGUCAGUUGUGAAAGUUUGCGGCUCAACCGUAAAAUUGCAGUUGAUACUGGCAUGCUAGAGUACAGUAGAGGGAGGUGGAAUUCGUGGUGUAGCGGUGAAAUGCUUAGAUAUCUCGAGGAACUCCGAUUGCGAAGGCAGCCUGCUGGACUGAAACUGACGCUGAGGCUCGAAAGUGUGGGUAGCAAACAGGAUUAGAUACCCGUGUAGUC
rnacentral:rRNA from 1 species